CGGACGGGUGAGUAAUGUAUAGUUAAUCUGCCCUUUAGAGGGGGAUAACAGUUGGAAACGACUGCUAAUACCCCAUACUCCUUUUACAUUAAUUGUAAUUGGGAAAUGUUUUUUCGCUAAAGGAUGAGACUAUAUGGUAUCAGGUAGUUGGUGGGGUAAGAGCCUACCAAGCCAAUGACGCCUAGCUGGUCUGAGAGGAUGAUCAGCCACACUGGAACUGAGACACGGUCCAG
rnacentral:rRNA from 1 species